rnacentral:lncRNA from 1 species
GUAACUUUGAAUUAUUUGAGGACCAGGACCUUGUAUCCUGCCUUUGACACUUAUGUUGAUAUUGAGGAAGCCACUUAAUUCUAAAAAGAACAUGCUAAUGGUGCUUAACCUCUGGGGGAAGGGUUGAGAAAUAAAUGAGCUAGUCACUAAAGUUUUUAGCAGUAUGCUUGGCACAAAGCAAUCUCUGGAGCUGGUGUGUUUUACUGAGCAUUUACUGAGUGCCCACAGUGGGAACAUCAGACAAAAAAAUAAACAAGAUCCAAAAAGUAAGGAUGUGUUUCAUGUGACCCCUGAGUCCUAAGGAUAAACAAGGAUAGGUAUUCAGGAGUGUUGGGGGAUGAGGGGAUUUUAGUUUUGCAUAGGUUUAAAGUGAGUCAGGGAAAGACCUCACAGUAAGUGACAUUUUAGCCAUGGCCUAAGGAAGUAAGGGAGGUCCUCUUCAGGGAAAGCAGCAUUCCAGGGGUAAGGAACCACAGAUGCAAACCUUCUGGGGCAGGAGUGGUUUGAGCAAGUCCAAGGUAUAAGCAGGAAACCUCAAGCUAAACUAGAAUGAAGGAGGUAAAGGCAGCAUAGUGGACGAAGGCACCUUACAUUUAUGUGCAAGUUCUUGUUUGAAGACCUGUUUUCAGUCCUGAUAUGUUUUUCUUUAAUCACAUUUGAAUAACACUGUUUCUUGAGGGCAGUAGCCAUGCCAUAUUAGUUUUGGUACAGGGGG